AGUGUUGUUGACCCACUUUUAGCAGAUCAUCUGGCACAUUUUGGUAUUGACUUCUCAUCCUUGCAAAAGACUGAAAUGACGACUGCUGAGAGAGAACUAGACCAAAAUUUUAACUUUGAUUGGAACCGGAUUCAAGAGACUGGUGAGGACGUUGAACCACUUUUUGGACCUGGUUACACUGGAUUAGUCAAUCUUGGUAACAGUUGCUACUUGGCUGCUACAAUGCAGGUUAUGUUCUCAACGCGUUCAUUUUGUUCAAGAUACUACUUUGAUCAACGUCUGAAAGAAGCUUUUACUACGGCUCCUGCUGAUCCGACUGUAGACCUUAACAUGCAGCUAACAAAGCUGGCUCAUGGUUUGCUUUCUGGUAAAUAUUCGGGUCCUGUUCUGGAGAAGGAUAAUACUGCUAAUGCUGUAAGCUCACAGAAACAGGAGGGUAUCCGUCCUCGAAUGUUCAAGU
rnacentral:misc_RNA from 1 species